rnacentral:rRNA from 1 species
AUUGAACGCUGGCGGCAGGCUUAACACAUGCAAGUCGAACGAGUGGCGGACGGGUGAGUAAUGUCUGGGAAACUGCCCGAUGGAGGGGGAUAACUACUGGAAACGGUAGCUAAUCCCGCAUACCAUCGGAUGUGCCCAGUUGGGAUUAGCUAGUAGGUGGGGUAACGGCUCACCGAGGCGACGAUCCCUAGCUGGUCUGAUAGGAUGACCAGCCACACUGGGACUGAGACACGGACCAGACUCCUACGAGAGGCAGCAGUGGGGAAGAUUGCGCAAUGGGCGCAAGCCUGAUGCAGCCAUGCCGCGUGUAUGAAGAAGGCCUUAGGGUUGUAAAGUACUUUCAGCGAGGAGGCGUUACUCGCAGAAGAAGCACCGGCUAACUCCGUGCCAGCAGCCGCGGUAAUUC